GUAACACAAGGUUUUUUUGUUGUUGAUGUUUUAAAAAAAGAAAAAGAGGAAAUAAAAAAGCCAUAUGGGAAGAAUCAGAGAGGAAGAGACUGGCCUUCACCUUUGAGGCAGAUACAGGCUGCAAAGGGUGGGCAGGCAUGGGGGCUACGAAGGCAGGAUUCAUGCUGAGAAACUCACCCAACCAGUUGGCCUAGGAGAAGAAGAGAGAAGGAUUGUUUGCCAUUGUUUGCCAGUCCCUCCUGCUACCAGAGCCAGCUCCUGCUGGUUCCAGCACAUCUCAAGAUGCCAAAGAAGAGGCCUUCCUGGAUCCAAGAUGGCAGU
rnacentral:lncRNA from 1 species